ensembl:lncRNA
GGCCUUGCAAGCCUAUCGCACUCUCUCUGAGGAAGUGGCUAACCCCUAGCCACCCUUACAACGGACAAAACAUCCCAUGGCUAGACAGCAGAUGAUCUGGGCAGGGACAGGCAGGGGACCAGCACACCGCAGAGUCAUCUCCAUAAAGCCAUGCUGUGGACCUGUGCCCUCUUCCACCUGGCCAUCUGCUGGGCAGGUGCUCUUCCCAGUGGGAGAAACAGACAAGAAAUUAAAGACAUUAACAGAGGAAGGAGCACACAGCUGUGAGAACAUAGAGCGGGAAGUGAUGGCCUAGAGCUGGGGAUGGCUUCUCAUAGGAAGUGAGGCAAGCCCGAGAGCACACAGGCGAGUGCAGAGGCACUAAGGGUGAGAUGAGGAACAAAGGGCCGGGAGACAGUCCCAGAAGCAGGCUCUUCAGAACCCCCGUCUGAAGCCACGCAGCGCAUCUCCUGCCACUCGGGUAGGAGCCGCCUUGGAGCCUCAGAACUGCAGAACCUGCGGCCUCUUCCUGGGCCAGGUGAGCCCUGAAGAGCCCGAAAUGUUGUC